CCAAAAUAAGCAAAAAUGACAGAACUCAAAAGGAUAUGUAUUUCAUUCUCACUAACACUUUUACUCUUAGCCGUUGAAGGAGCCCUUAACAUAAACCAGAAAUGGUCUGGUGGAAGUCAUUUUGGUUACGAGGGUGGGUUCUGUUUUCCCGGUCUCUGCAUUGGAGGAUCUGGUGGUAGCAGAGUCCAUUAUGGCAGGGACCGUUACGGUGGCCGAAAUCAAUAUAGAGGUGGUAGUGGUUUCAGAGAGACCAUGUACUGCAAACCGUUGUCUUGUUAUGGUGGCUCAUGUGAUGCACUCCAUUUACAUUUAGACAAAGGGUUGUAUGAAUCUCUCGUACGCAACACAAAGACAGCGAAACAACCGUCGACUGUUGAUUACAACAUCCCAGAGACCUUGAAACACAAUGUCAUCAUCAACAGAAACUAUGAGUUCAAGAUGGUGAAAGAAGCUGCAAUGGCACCACAGUCUAACUAGCUAGCUAAAGAAGUUAGUCUUUAUUGUAUAGUUUGUAUCAAUAAACAGCUUAUGAAUCUCAUCGGACUGAGAUGUAAUCACAAGAUUAUAGUUAUAAUGUAGAAUAGGCAACUAAACUAGUAAUAUAUAUGUUUGUUCAAUAGCAACUGUAGUGAGUUUUUUCGUACAUAUUACUCGAAAAUAUAAAUAAAGAGAAGCUUGAGUCUCCUCUGUUAUCGACAUUCACACUCAUUUCAGUCUUUUAUGAAAACAUAAUUGACAAUUAGCAAAAAGAAAUAGUGUAUUUGACAAAAAAAAAAUAGUGUAUAUACCAUGCUUAUAUAGGCUUGUUAACUACUCCCUCUGGUAUACAAAGAGUGUCAUUCUACUAUUUUUCACACAAAUUAAGAAAACUAAACAAAUGUCAUUUAUACCCUUUAUUAAUACACUAGAUAUACCUUCUCUAUAAUUAAUAAGGUGAAAUAGUAGAGAUAAAAAGAGAAUUAGUUUUAAAAACUGCAUUGAAAACAUAAAACGACACUUUUUGUGAAACAAAAUUAAAACCUUAAAAUGACACUCUUUGUAAAACGGAUGGUAUAAUAAUUAAUUAAUGUUACACAUCAGUACAUAACGUGUAACUUUAUUUGUAUUAAUUCUAGAUUACAAUUAUUUCACAAUACACAUUAUACAAGUUGAACUAGAAAAGCCUUUGUGAGAGUUUCUCAUCUUCUCUCGAUGUGCUGAAAAACAAAGUUAACGUUCCCUGAAACAAUACAUAUUGAUUCAAAAUUUCAUUACUUCAAUAAAUAUCGAAUUAUUUUAUAGACAAGUAACGAAGUAUUGACCAGGUCAGGUUUUAACGUGACCGGAUCCAUGUAGAAAGGGUUAAAGCCUUAAAGGGAUACUAUUAAAAGAAAAAUGUCUCUUACGAAUUUAUCUCCGGCGGCGAGAAGUUAAAGCGGUGGAGAUGGGAGUAGCGGCUUUGACAUGGUGGAAGAAAGCGACGGAGCAGAGGACAGAGGCAAUGAGGGCAAAGAAUCCAAAUCCGAUGAUUAGAGAGAAACCGGCGACGAUAAGAUCCAUCGCCGUUUGAAUGCUCACUAUCCCCAUCAUCUUCUGAUUCUUGAGUUGUUUAGUUUUAGAAAUGGUUUGGAUUAUGAAAAACUUAAGAAGGUCAAACAGAAUGGCAUUGCAAUGGCCUUGGGCAUGGUGAAAUAGAAUUACAGAAUGCAUUGCCACGUUACGUGAUAACUUAAAUUUACGACACCUUGCUUGAACUAUUCUAUUAAAAUAGAGAAAAGAAAAGAAAAAAAUACAAUAUUUAUGUAGUUAUAAACCUAUACCGGUUUUAGAUACCUGUAUAUCUCCUGAAUUUGGACUAAACCUAAUUGAACCAAUAUAAAAUUUGUUCUGUUUGUGACCAUUUUUCAAAAUCCAAAAUUUAUAAUACAUGUCGGUAUAGCCGAAUCCAAAUAUAUAUAGUUGGUAUUUCAUCACUUAUAUAUUUUGAUCUAAACUUUUACCAAUUGUCCAUAAUUUUUUAUCCAAAUUCGAACUCAAACUUGGACUAAACCUAAUUGAACCGAAAUAAAAUUUGUUUUAUUUGAAAAUUAUUUUCAAAAUCCAAAAUAUUUGAACUCCAAAAAACCAAAACCAAAACCAAACUAAACCAAAAAACUGAAUGCCUAUGGGCCAUGCCUAAUUAUUAUGGUCAAUUUAUUUUUCUCGUAAUAUCAUGAUGAUAAGAAUAUAAUAUUUUUAGCUUUGAAUAAAAUUGAAUCGGUUUAUGGAAGUAUGAUAAAUUAUUUGACUAUUUUUUUUGAGUUCAUAGUGAUAAGGAUAAAUUUUUUGACUUUGAAUAAAAUUGAAUCGGUUUAUGGGAAUAUGAUAAAUUGUUUGACUAUUAUUAUAGUUGGUUAGAUUAUAUAUAUAACCCUUAAAUAAAGCCUCUCCAUCACCAUCUCCUCGCCUUCGAAAACUCAAAAAUCCUCUCGUUGUCUUUGUUCUUUUCUAAGUGGAAGAGAACAUAAAUUUAUUUUGUUAUUCCCUCAAAAUCAAUUUUUCAUUGAAAUAAGCUUCUUCGUCUUGUAAUGGCUUAUCAUUAAUAUCGUCUAAGCACAAGCUGCUUAGCAAGUUUUUCUAUAGGAAGAUAAUUUCUUUAAAUUCAGAACACACAUUCGAGUAUUUCGUCCAUCAACAAGGAUGGAGACAACUUCAUCUGGAAUAUUCACAAGGUUUGAUCUAUCCCGUGUUAAAAUUGAGAAUCUAACAUUUUAAAAUAUAUUUUUUUACGUUAAAAAUAUUAUUUUACGAUUGUUUUUGGUUUGCAAUAGAGAAUACAUAUGUGAGACAUUUCAUUGAAUGAUAUAUAUUUGCUAGUAAGCAACCCCCACAAAACUAAAGCGAAGCUGUAAACAUCUAGCUGUAUGCUUAUCCUGUUUUUUCUUUAAUUAUGAGCGGCACAUGAUACUGUGUUUGUAUGAAUACAAAACAUAAAAUCUUUAAUUUGAUAAUUUGUAAGUAGAAGAUUUAUCUCGAAAGAAUCACAUCAUGAUUAAUUCAUCUAUAGGUCCUAACCUCGCACGUCAUGUCAUUGACAUGUGAGGCUAGUACUUACAGCUGAAUGGAUCCUGAUGUGAUUCAUUUUAGCUAAUUUUUUACUCAAAAGAGAUCAAACGAAAGAGUUUAUUCGGAAUUGGAGAGAAAAUACAAUAAAAUAACAAAAUUAAGGUUUACAGUUUCACUUUACAUUGCUAGAAUUCGGGGAGUUUCUUACUAACUAAUUAAAUACCAUUUAGGGAAGGGCCUCACAUCCUUAUCUUGCAAACAAUGUAAAGUGUAAAGUCACAAAUCAACAUUUCUAACUUAAAUGGGAAAAGAUCUUUAAAUGUUGGAUCUCCUUUUCUAAAAAUAUGAUGAGAAAUCAAGCCUUAUGCAAACUCCGUUGAUGUUACUUAAGUCAUUUACUAGCAAGAUUCAAGCUUUACCAUGAAAGCAGAAAGGAAAGAUCAAGAUUUAACAAGCCAAACAAAUAUAGUUGAGCCCGUUUACUUGAAAACAGACAAAACAUAGAAUUCAAGAUCAAACAGGAUCUAAAAAAAAUAGAGAUUAAUAGGGCGGAGCCAAUCAAGAGGGAGGGGGGUCAGUUGACCCCCAUAACAUUUUAAAGUUUUGAAAUUAUAAGGUAAAUUAUCUAAUGAUUUUAGAUAUUUUGGUACAAAAUUUCCUAGUUGACCCAUAUGUCAUGCUAUAAUUUUAUGUCUUUGACCCCAUUCAUAUUUAAUUUUUCAUUCAACAUUAAUUUUCUUUCUAUGUUUGUUUUGUUUUUUCCUAAAAAAUGAUUACAAUUCUCUAAUAGUUUUUUUACAUAUUGAUUCUUUUUCUUUGUAUCACCGGAUAUCUUGUUUUUUUUUCGUUCUUUUUCUCAAAAUUGUUUUGACAUAUAUUUCUAUAAAAUAUCAUAAAUCAAGAUAAAAUAUAUUAUUUAAUAUUAAUAUGUAAUUAAAUAAAAAUAAUAAUAUAUAUGACUCCUAUAAACAAAAAUCUUGGCUCCGCGAUUAUGUUCUUGGUUAAUGAGAACUCUGUUCAUGUAGCUCUUUAGGAAUCUAAGGAGCACUUUCUUUUGAAAAUAUUUGGUUUAUAGACACGUAAACAUUUCAGACCGGGAUCAAGAUCAUUUCAAAAGAGACAAUGAUUGAUGCAUGCAUAAAUAUGGACCUGUUUAUUUAUUAGAACAUGAAAUUUUUUAUUUUUAUUUUUGUAACCAAAAAGUUUUGGACCAAAAUUCAAAACAGAGCAAUAAGUCCCCUGGACACCCCAAUGACAAGAUUCGAAUCUGAUAUCUAAAGAACACUUUCUUUAGAUUAUAUUAUCGGUAAAAUAUAUUUGAUUAUAUCUUUUAUAGAUUCAUUUACGAAAUAUUUUGUAUACGUUACGUUGGUCCUCUUCUUUAAAUAAACAACCAACAAGCUUACGAGACGAUUAGACGGUCCAGAUCUGAUCGGCCUAUACGUUAGGAAACCAAUUAAGCCCGAUCUCACCAAUCGUCUCCCUCGACUUGGAAUUUUCUUCUCGAAGUUUCAUGUUCUCUUCUAUAACCUUCUCGUAACCCUCCCUGGCUCGGCUUAGCUCAUCGACUAGACAUUUGUUCUUGUUGAUGAGCUGAACAAGCAUGGACCACAGUUCGUCCAUGUGGCGCUGUUUCCGCAUACGUGAUCUCCUAGCUGACUCGCGGUUCGAUACCUUCCUUCUCCGCUUCCGCUCAUCAUCUUCUGCAUUCCGGCUAGAGUCCUCGGACGUGGCAGGAAAGUUUAAAAGUGGAACUCGAUCAACAAAGGUUUGGAAUAAAGACUUUGGAUUAGGGUUUUCACAUGGAAGGUUAUAGACAAAACCAGCCAUAUACAGAGAAAAACAGUUAUGUGUUUUUUGUAACCUAAUGUAUUAACAAGUAUGAUGGUAUAGAUCAAUGAAAUGCACUCUAAUUUGGUUUUUAUAGAUGAAUAAAUUGAGGGUAGUGUGACCUUACACUAAUAACUAAUCCAAGUGGCUGAAGUACACGUAAAAUUUUAAUUUAAUAGAAGGAGAAGAAAAAGAGAAGUUCUAAUCGUGAGAUGGAUGAGUCAUGAAGCAAUUGAAAGUUGUAAGUAAGUCGAUGGCAUGAAGGGGACCAUUGCGAGAGAAAAUCAAAGAUUAUAUUAUAAAUUAUUCAAAGAAAGCGUAAGAGGCAGCAACUCGUAGACGCACCAUGUUUCUUUCCGAGCAACCAUAUCUAAGUUUUUUAAGAGCAUACUUUAUUUUUAUAAAGGGAUAACACUUAAUCGAUAAUCCAAUGGUUUAUGAAAUUUGUGGGUAAUGAUGUAGCAUAAACUGACUUUAGUCCUUGUACAUAAUUUAUAGUGUUAAAUAGUUGACAAUGAAGAGGUUUUACCAAAACUACUACAGUUCUUGAAGCAUAAUUGCGAGAGUAGCUAAAAUAUGCUUUUAUAAAUUUUGCAUUAGGUAACAUUUUUUUACCAAGUCAUAUAAAAGUCUAGUAAACUGAUAGAGAAAAAAUAACACUUAUAGCUAGGAUGAAAUAUAUUGGUAAUUUAUUUUUAGACUAAUAUUAUCUUAGCCAAUUAGAGUAAAUGUCUACUUGGGGUUGGGGUAUCGGAUUGGUUAAAUUUGCAGCUCGCGUGAGCUCUCUAGCUUUAUUAGGUCGUAACUAUUUAGUAGCAGUUAUAAUAUUAUUUUACCCAAAGUAAAGAUUAGAUUAAUGAUGUUUUCAGCUAGUAACGAAGUUUCCUAGAUCCACUUAAAGCCAAUCAUCUUAGUGGCGUGAUGGCAGCAAAUUGCAAAUGAGUCUUUUUUUUUUGUCAUCCGAAAUUAAUUAAAGUUUAAAAGAGUCAUUUCUGAAGAAUGUUGUUUACAUACGUGAUAUGAAGCGGUUCUGUACGAACUUUUCGUGCCAGAAGAACAAUUGCAAACGAGUCUAUUCAUAUUAUAAUGACAUUGUUAGUCGGCUAACAAUUUUGCUAUAGAAUAUGAAUUAAUUCAAUAACAUAAAAAUAUAACUCUGUUAUUCAUAAUCUAUGUAAGAAGAGAAAUUACGUUUCUAUAAAUAUUAAUUAAUCCAUUAAUCCAUUAGCUGCUCGAAGGGGUAACUAAUGAAAGUCAAUUAAAGUUUCAAGUGACGUAUCACAUUCUCACAAUGAAACAAUUAUUUUGCUGAUGUUAUGGACCAUUAAGGUUUGUGUUGAUUAUUGGAAAGCAAAUAUUAUAAUUUUAAACUCUAGUGGUAGAGAUUUCUUGUUUGUCUUUUACUAGUUUCCAACUACUCUUGUUUUGUCCAUUUUCGCUAUUCCACAAUCUAAAACUUUCGGGUUCAUAUCAACGUCCAAGAGGAUAUUACUAGCUAUGAGGUUUCGAUGUAUGGUUUUGAAUCAUGAAUCUUGAUGAAGAUAUAAAACCUCGAGCAAUCCCUCCUACAAUAUUAAAUCGUUUAUUCCAAUCCAUCUAGCUUAAGUUAAACCAAUGCUCUCAAAAGUGAAUUUCUUUGGCUAAGCAUUGGUUUAACUUACCAAGCAUUAAGUAAUGAAGGCAUUACUUUUUUUUGGGCACAAACUCAUAGAAAAGUAUUUUCUCUUCUUCCUCAAAACAAAAUCCAAGUAGUUUUAUCAGGAUUUAAUUUCUAUUUUGAAGCUUUGUCACAACAACUUGUUGGGUGGUGGCUUGAGAGAUAAACCAAAAAGAGUAAACAGUUAGUUAUUAUUGGACUUUGUUAUAGAUCAAGUCCAUGUGUAUGUAAUUAGGGUUUUGUUUCCGAAAACGAAGAGAAAAAAACUAAGCUAAGAAGCUCAUAAUUUGAGAAAUGUAAAGUUACGAAUAGAGUAACAAAAUGAAAAAAGUAAAAUUUUAUAGGUAGUUACUUGAAAUAGACAUGAGAAGUAACAACAAAUUCAAGUAACUUUCUUCCUCAACACUUUCUAAAUAGAAUGGUGCCACAAAAUAAAUAGGUAAUUUUAUAGUUAUGAAUGGUGCCACAAAAUUUUUUAAUGAAACUUUAGGUGUUUGAGCAAUUAAUGAAACUUUGUCUUUUUCUUUUUUUUCUCUCGUGUGUUUUAUCUUAUGGAUAAGUCUUUGAGCGGUAACAAAACAAAUAUCAUGUUUGCGAUUCCAAAAAGAUGUAUUUCUUGGACGAUCUAAAUAGACACCAAAAUAUACAAAAAAAAGAGAGGUAAUUUAAAUUACCUCUAAUGCUUGUCUCUGGUGUCAUCACCUAUGUCUCUCAACACCUCUACACCCCUCGUCCUUCCACUAAACCUCCUCCAUCCACUACCACCCCCUGCCCGCUGGCUAUGUCUCUCAACACCUCUACCUCUCCACCCCUCAUCCUCCAUGUCUCUCAACACCUCUACCUCUCCACCCCUCGUCCUCCACAUUCACAACUAUCGACAACUCGGCCACGUAACUCCCCUCAUCUCUAAACUCUCUAGUUACUCCUCCCCCUCCUCCACCUCUUCCACAUCAUCUCUCCACGUCACAAGUUACCUUCUCCAUCAAAUAUCUGCUCAAUCGGGUACCAUCGAACCCCCCUGGUGGCUGACGUUCCUAGUUAGGAAACAAACCACUUUAGCCAGGGAUCGAUUGGUAACAUAACUUCUGAUAUAAUUAAAUUUAAACGAUUAAAGCAAUAACCGUUUCACAAACCAGAAACAAAUUCAUAAUCUAUGCGUUGUGGGUUUUGGUUUACACCCGGUUUGUAACGGUCUCUUUGUUCAAACAUUAAUCAUAAUCGUAAUUUUAAUAAAUCAAAAACCAUAAAAUCAUUAAUCUUUAUGCGCCUUAUCCAAAAAAAAAAAACUCCUAAAACCCUCUCACCAGCCAUUGAUUCACAAUCUCAAAUUCAUCACAGCGAAGAAGAUGCGAUCUUCGUUUCUAGUUUCGAAUCCUCCGUUUCUACCUUCUCUAAUCCCUCGUCACAGUUCUAGAAACUCCUUCAGACGUAGCAGAGAACGCUUCUCCUUCGCUGAGUCUCUUCGUGUUUCUCUUCAUGGAAUCGGAAGAAACAUUGAGGUUGGGUUAUUUCCUUGACUCCCAUUUGAACAACAUUGAGGAGGAAUGUUUUGUGUUUCUUAAAGAUGGUUUUGAUUUUCUGGGUUUUUUGUUGUAUAGGUCGCUCAUGGAGUUCAAUUUGAUGGUCCGAUUAUGGAUAGAGAUGCUUUGGAGGUGAAUUUAGGUGAUGAUUUGAUGGUUCAAGUGUGUGUGACUCGUACAUUGCCUCCAGCUUUGACUCUUGAGCUUGGCCUUGAGAGCCUCAAGGAAGCUGUUAACGAAUUGAAGACUAAUCCUCCUCAGUCAUCUAGUGGCGUCUUGCGAUUUCAAGUACGAGUUUUUUCAUAUCUUGUUACUUCAUACAUAUAUGUUAAUGCUGAUGCUAUUAGCUUAAUAUGUGUUUUUGAAUUUGUAGGUGGCUGUGCCUCCAAGUGCAAAAGCUUUGUUUUUGUUUUGCUCUCAGCCGACAUCUUCUGAUGUGUUUCCUGUGUUUUUCCUCUCCAAGGAAACUUUGGAGCCUUCUUAUAAAUCACUCUAUGUAAAGGAACCUCAUGGGGUUUUUGGAAUUGGGAAUGCACUCUCUUUCGUUCAUCCGUCUUCAAUCGACUCCAAGGGACAUAGCAUGAUGAAAACGUAAGCUUUUGCUUUUUAGCUUCAAUGGGUUGCUGCAGGAUACAACACUAUGAAUGUGCUUUAGUCUCAUGUUCACAUGUUCUAAAGCGCUGCAUUUUACUUGAAGCAGUUAAGCUAACUAACUUCUGCAGAUUCCUCUCAGAUGAAUCAGCUAUGGUGACGGCCUAUGGUUUUCCAGAUAUUGAAUUCAACAAAUACUCUACUGUAAAUAGCAAGGGUGGCUCUUCUUACUUUUUCGUUCCUCAGGUGAAGUGGCAUUGACUUUAUCGUCUAGCUGUUGAAUUACAUCUUUAACUUGUUUUUGGUAUAUCUGGUUGAUCUGUAACAAGCGUUCUUACAUUGUACAUGGUUUAAAUAUCCAAAUUUCAACAGAUUGAGUUAGAUGAGCACGAGGAGGUCUCUAUUUUAGCAGUUACAUUGGCAUGGAAUGAAUCUCUCUCUUACAGAUUUGAGCAAACAAUUAGUUCAUAUGAGAAAUCAAUUUUUCAGGUAUGCUGAUGUUCCAACAUUUCUUUUUAGUAUCUGCAAUAAAUUCAACUAAAACUAAGAAUCUAAAAACAUUCCAAGCAUUUUGUUAUACAUGUCCAAGGCACCACGUUCUAUCCUUGAGGAUACUAAACAGUAUAUGUAAAACUGUGCCUAGGUUGAUUAUUAAUUUAUUGGAAUCGGGAACUAAAAGCUUCUUAUUCUUCACCUUUGUGAAAAAAUUGUUCUUAUAUCCAUUGAGUUCAAAAGAACAAGAGAUGACGACAUUAGGUUGUAACUCCCUGCUCUCUAAAAGUUGGAAUGACGUAAGAACGUAUGUGCUAUGGUACUCUUUAUAUACACAUGAACUGAGACAGCUCAUCACCUGAAAGUAAAAGUUACUUGCGACUUAUCUGUGCUUGUGGUUUGGAAGCAACACUAACAGUUUUAAAACAUUACUUCAAUACAAAAAAAACA
rnacentral:lncRNA from 1 species